AUGACUUUAAAUAGCAUUGAACCCACUAUCUCGGAUUUCAAGGAAUUUGAUUAUGAUAAUUGUUCUUUAGAAGGUUGUAUUUCCUUGUUGCAAUCCGUUGUGAAUUCUCCUCAUGCUUAUAGUCAAAAUAAAGCUUUUACCAAACAUAUUGUUGAUGCCUUGAUGCAAUCUUAUGAUGAAAAACUUAAUUUGGAAGUUUCUAUACCUAGAAAACUUAAUGAUGAGUGGGAACCUACUAUAAAGAUUAAAAUUAAAGAUCAUGAGUGCUUUGCUUUGUGUGAUUUGGGUGCUAGUGUUUCCACGAUUCCGAAAACUUUAUGUGAUAUUCUAGGUUUCCAUGAUCUUGAUGAUUGCUCUUUAAAUUUGCACCUUGCGGAUCCACCAUUAAAAAGACAAUGGGAAGGAUCAAUGAUGUUCUCAUUGUUGCAAAUAUAA
rnacentral:rRNA from 1 species